rnacentral:tRNA from 1 species
GCCUUCAUUGUGUAAUGAUAGCACACUUGGCCCGUAUUCAAGAGGUCCAGGUUCGAGUCCCGGCGAGAGCA